GUGUCAGCAGCCGCGGUAAGACGAACCGUGCGAACGUUAUUCGGAUUCACUGGGCUUAAAGGGCGCGUAGGCGGCUCCGCGAGUCGGGGGUGAAAUCUUUCAGCCCAACUGGAAGAGGGCCUCCGAGACCGCGGGACUCGAGGGGGAUAGGGGUGCGCGGAACUUCCGGUGGAGCGGUGAAAUGCGUAGAUAUCGGAAGGAACGCCGGUGGCGAAAGCGGCGCACUGGAUCCCUACUGACGCUGAGGCGCGAAAGCCAGGGGAGCGAACGGGAUUAGAUACCCCGGUAGUCC
rnacentral:rRNA from 1 species